UUAAAUUCUUUACUCCUCUAUAAACAAUCUUAGGCUUCUCCGGAAGAAUACUAUUAAGGAGGGGGUCAUUUCUUAAAAUUGGCCAAUACUUUGAAACUAUUUUUCUAAAUUCUUUACUUUUACAGUUAAAGUCACAUAUAAGUCCUAUUGUUUGUGGUUCAACUUUAUUUUUAGUGUGCACACACGUUAGAUGCACUGUGUAGGUUAGGUUACAGUUGGUUAUACUGUGCACCUACACAUGUUAGAUGCACUGUGUAGGUUAGAUUACAGUUAGUUAUACUGGGUGGGUUUAUAUUAUUAAAGGGACACUCCAGGCUCCCACACACGUUAGAUGCACUGUGUAGGUUAGAUUACAUUUAGUUAUACUGAGGGGGUUUAUAUUAUUAAAGGGACACUCCAGGCUCCCACACACGUUAGAUGCACUGUGUAGGUUAGGUUACAGUUGGUUAUACUGUGCACCUACACAUGUUAGAUGCACUGUGUAGGUUAGGUUACAGUUAGUUAUACUGGGUGGGUUUAUAUUAUUAAAGGGACACUUCAGGCUCCCACACACGUUAGAUGCACUGUGUAGGUUAGAUUACAGUUAGUUAUACUGGGUGGGUUUAUAUUAUUAAAGGGACACUCCAGGCUCCCACACAUGUUAAUAGCACUGUGUAGGUUAGGUUACAGUUAGUUAUACUGGGUGAGUUUAUAUUAUUAAAGGGACACUCCAGGCUCCCACACACGUUAGAUGCACUGUGUAGGUUAGGUUACAGUUGGUUAUACUGGGUGGGUUUAUAUUAUUAAAGGUACACUCCAGGCUCCCAGACACGUUAGAUGCACUGUGUAGGUUAGGUUACAGUUG